CCGCAUUGGAGGGGAACUACGUAAAUCCCGGUGUUAUUUACUUACUGUUUUGUGCUUGGCGAUUUCGAGAAUAUUCGUUGUAUAUUGCUUUAUUAAUAUUACCACAAUAAAUUGGUCUAAGGAGGUUGGCUUAAUUAUCGUCAUUAUGGUAAUCACCCAUCCAUAGUGAUUUUAAGUGUGGCGGACUACCGCCACUUCCAACUUGCCUGGGAAAUAUUUAUUAGUGCAAUAUAUUUACUUUAUUCUCGUCAGCUGCGCCCCAACACCAGCAAUAUUCUUUUGUACAAUAUUUGUUUAGCCACAACCUUUUAUAUUGGAAAGUUGAACUCACAGCCCACCCUUUUAGUCCUUAUCCAUCGUUUAUGUAGUGUGUCGGGAUGUACCUCAAUUACAGUAGAGUCGUGGAGCACCAUAGGUAGUCCAAUGCUUAUAUUAGAUGCGUACACCACCAUCCACAUGUGUCGAAUGUCUGACAUGAGCACCAAAAUGUGAGAUUGUCUUGGUCAAUUAGUAGCGAUUUCUCAUCAAUUUUCAACCCUUAGUCGCCAGCCGUCCAUAUUUUCUAUGCCUUAUGCAGCCAUGGUCUUUUGAUU
rnacentral:lncRNA from 1 species